UACGAUGGAGACAAGUGUUAGUCAUCUUUAUUAGGUAUAAAGGGUACCUAGACGGUAAAUAAUAGCCUCAUAUUAAAAAAAAAAGGUACUUUUUUACUUGAGUUUUAUAGGAGAGGAAUAUAUUGGAACUAUAGGAGUAGAGAUAAAAUUCUUUGAUACUUGUAGGACUGGGAGAGGCGAAAGCAAUCCUCUAUCUUAAAACUGACGUUGAGGGACGAAGGCUUGGGUAACAAAUAGG
rnacentral:rRNA from 1 species